UUUAAUAUUUUUUCUCAUUUGCAAAGUUUACACAUGGUCAAGUUUAAAACCUAAACCAACAUAAUUUAAAAAAUUAAACUAUGUCAGAAUUAGCCCUCAAAAUUUGCUUCAGUGUAUUCCCUUCGGCAAUGUUUACAUUGCUGCGCAGUCUGUUCCAAUCAACGGAAAAAAUAUAGUGAACCUAAACCUUGUCCCCGGAUGUGCAUUCGGAAUGGUUCCGUCUCCUAAACUGAAGAUCAAUCACCCACUGCAAGAAUGCCAGCACUUCGUACAUUUUGCGGCGGAAGAUUUGUGAGCCUCAUCCGGCAACCGAAAAGCAAAACUGAUCUCCCAAGAAUGUGAGCUUCUUGACUACGGUCCAUCACAUGAUAUUAUCCUGUCGGCAUCGAAAAUGAAAGCCCACAUUCCCAGACGUGGCCUCAACUGUCUCCCGGCAUACGGUUUUCCUUAUCGGGCAUUAUACAAAGUUUUCCAGCCAGAGCGAGAGAUUUUAAGCUGUAUUUGAAUGAAAAUCGUUAUGUUGAUUCUUGUAAGCAAUAAUAAACUUUUUCUCGGUUUUGUUUUUUA